rnacentral:rRNA from 1 species
CUACGGGAUGCUCCAGUGAGGAAUAUUGCACAAUGGGGGGAACCCUGAUGCAGCAACGCCGCGUGGAGGAUGACGCAUUUCGGUGUGUAAACUCCUUUUAUAUGUCAAGAAAAUGACGGUAGCAUAUGAAUAAGCACCGGCUAACUCCGUGCCAGCGAGCCGCGGUAAUACGGAGGGUGCAAGCGGUUACUCGGAAUCACUGGGCGUAAAGGACGCGUAGGCGGGUUGGAAAGUCAGGUGUGAAAUCCUACAGCUUAACUGUAGAACUGCACUUGAAACUUCUAAUCUAGAGUAUGGGAGGGGGAGAUGGAAUUAGUGGUGUAGGGGUAAAAUCCGUAGAUAUCGCUAGGAAUACCUAAAGCGAAGGCGAUCUCCUGGAACAUUACUGACGCUAAGGCGUGAAAGCGUGGGGAGCAAACAGGAUUAGAUACCCGUGUAGUC